rnacentral:rRNA from 1 species
CAACCAACCUACCAGCGGGGGAUAAUCCACCGAAAGGUGGUCUAAGACCGCAUAAGACAGGGGCACCGCAUGGUGCUAUUUGUUAAAGGGAACACUGGUAGACGGGCAUGCGUUCCAUUAGGCAGUUGGAGGGGUAACGGCCCACCAAACCGACGAUGGAUAGGGGUUCUGAGAGGAAGGUCCCCCACAUUGGUACUGAGACACGGACCAAACUCCUACGGGAGGCAGCAGUGAGGAAUAUUGGUCAAUGGGCGGAAGCCUGAACCAGCCAAGUCGCGUGAAGGAAGAAGGAUCUAUGGUUUGUAACUUCUUUUGAAGGGGGAUAAAGUGCGUCACGAGUGGUGCAUUGCAGGUACCCUUGGAAUAAGCAUCGGCUAACUCCGUGCCAGCAGCCGCGGUAAUACGGAGGAUGCGAGCGUUAUCCGGAUUUAUUGGGUUUAAAGGGUGCGUAGGUGGCUUUUUAAGUCAGCGGUGAAAACUGGCGGCUCAACCGCAAGAGUGCCGUUGAAACUGGGGAGCUAGAGUAUGAACGAGGUAGGCGGAAUGUGUGGUGUAGCGGUGAAAUGCAUAGAUAUCACGAAGAACUCCGAUUG